rnacentral:rRNA from 1 species
GGAAUAUUGGACAAUGGAGGCAACUCUGAUCCAGCCAUGCCGCGUGAAGGAAUAAGGCCCUAUGGGUUGUAAACUUCUUUUAGCCGGGACAAAACCCCUUUACGUGUAAAGGGUUGAUGGUACUGUCAGAAUAAGCAUCGGCUAACUUCGUGCCAGCAGCCGCGGUAAUCCGAAGGAUGCAAGCGUUAUCCGGUAUUAUUGGGUUUAAAGGGUGCGUAGGCGGACUAAUAAGUCAGUGGUGAAAGCCUGCAGCUUAACUGCAGAAUUGCAAUUGAUACUGUUAGUCUUGAGUAAAGUUGAGGUAGGCGGAAUGUGUCAUGUAGCGGUGACAUGCUUAGAUAUGACACAGAACACCGAUUGCGAAGGCAGCUUGCUAAGCUGUAACUGACGCUGAGGCACGAAAGCGUGGUGAGCAAACA